CCUACGGGUGGCAGCAGUGAGGAAUAUUGGUCAAUGGGCGCGAGACUGAACCAGCCAAGUAGCGUGAAGGAUGACUGCCCUACGGGUUGUAAACUUCUUUUAUAAAGGAAUAAAGUGAGGCACGUGUGCCUUUUUGUAUGUACUUUAUGAAUAAGGAUCGGCUAACUCCGUGCCAGCAGCCGCGGUAAUACGGAGGAUCCGAGCGUUAUCCGGAUUUAUUGGGUUUAAAGGGAACGUAGAUGGGUUGUUAAGUCAGUUGUGAAAGUUUGCGGCUCAACCGUAAAAUUGCAAUUGAUACUGGCAGUCUUGAGUACAGUUGAGGUAGGCGGAAUUCGUGGUGUAGCGGUGAAAUGCUUAGAUAUCACGAAGAACUCCGAUUGCGAAGGCAGCUUACUAAACUGCCACUGACAUUGAUGCUCGAAAGUGUGGGUAUCAAACAGGAUUAGAUACCCCAGUAGUC
rnacentral:rRNA from 1 species